rnacentral:rRNA from 1 species
GUCUUUUUGUUUAUAAUUUAAGGUUGAAUCUGCCCACUGAUUUAAUUAAAGGGCUGCAGUAUAUUGACUGUACAAAGGUAGCAUAAUCAUUAGUCUUUUAAUUGAAGACUUGUAUGAAAGAUUUGAUGAAAUAUUAACUGUCUCUUUGGUAAAUUUAAAAUUUAAUUUUUUAGUUAAAAAGCUAAAAUAAUUUUAAAAGACGAGAAGACCCUAUAGAGUUUUAUAUUUAAGAUAAUUUUUUAUUUAUAUUAAUUUAAAAUAUUGAAAUUAUAUUAAAUAAUUUAUUGGGGUGAUAAAAAAAUUAAAUAAACUUUUUUUUUAAAAAAACAUUAAUUUAUGAUUUUAUGAUCCAUAAUUUAUGAUAAUAAGAAAAAAUUACCUUAGGGAUAACAGCGUAAUUUUUUUUUUUAGUACAAAUAAAAAAAAAAGUUUGCGACCUCGAUGUUGGAUUAAGAUAAAAAUUAAAUGUAGAAGUUUAAAUUUUUGAUCUGUUCGAUCAUUAAAAUCUUACA